AUGAAAGCAAUGAUGAAGAGGAGUAAACAAUUGUAAUGUUAUAGAGAGCUGAUGGUUGGUGUGAAUCAGUACAGGAUAUUGUUGAAUGGGCUUCUGAGCUUCUAGAUUGAACCUUAUAGUAGGUCUAGCGGAAAGUCUUACCGAUAAAAAAGACAAAGUAUUGGAAAAGCUUUUUUUCCUGUACGGAUAAAGUGCGUUUAUAUACCAAUAUAAACGAAUCAAGGUGGCACCACGGGUUACUCGUCCUUUUU
rnacentral:ncRNA from 1 species